rfam:TPA: Bos taurus chromosome 4, whole genome shotgun sequence.
UCCCUGGUGGCUCAGAUGGUAAAGCAUCUGUCUACAAUGCAGGAGACCCGGGUUCGAUCCCUGGGUCGGGAA